UAGUCCACGCAGUAAACGAUGGAUACUCACUGUAGGCGGUAUUGACCCCGCCUGUAGUCUAGCUAACGCGUUAAGUAUCCCGCCUGGGGACUACGGUCGCAAGACUAAAACUCAAAGGAAUUGACGGGGGCCCGCACAAGCGGUGGAUUAUGUGGUUUAAUUCGAAGCAACGCGCAAAACCUUACCUGGCCUUGACAUCCCUCUGAUCGGUAUAGAGAUAUACCUUCUCUUCGGAGCAGGGGUGACAGGUGCUGCAUGGCUGUCGUCAGCUCGUGUCGCGAGAUGUUCGGUUAAGUCCGGCAACGAGCGCAACCCUUAUUUUAGUUGCCAUCAUUAAGUUGGGCACUCUAGAGAGACUGCCGAUGUCAAAUCGGAGGAAGGUGGGGAUGACGUCAAGUCCUCAUGGCCCUUACGGCCAGGGCUACACACGUAAUACAAUGGGUGCUACAAAGAGCUGCGAACCAGUGAUGGGGAGCGAAACCUCAAAAAGCAACUCUCAGUCCGGAUUG
rnacentral:rRNA from 1 species